UUUAUUACUGAGUAUUUUUAUUAUUGAGUAUUUUUAGCAUUGAGUAUAGUAAUAUUUGUGUAUUGAGUAUUUGAGUCUUAAAUAAAUUUGAAAUAUUAAAAAAAAAUCAGCAGAACUUAAGAUAUACUUAGGAGUAAGAGGGAGGAAAAUGGAUGGUAACAGAGUUCGCUAAAAUAAUUUUAUUUAGUAAUUUCUGUAUUGCUUAGUAAAUAGUGCAUGGAAUGACAUUAUAAAACUAUUGUUCCAUGUUUUACUGCUUCACAGCUAUACAGAAAAUUAAGUAAAAUUAUAUCGCCGAAUUAUUCUACUACCAUCCAAAUCCUCUUGCUUACUCCAAAAAUAAAAAGCAACGCAAGAUAAUAUCAGAAAAUACAAAAUCUAAUAUUAUAUGGCAUCGAAACUAGUGCAAAAUAAUAUAACGGCGAAAGCUAGAUAAUAUUAGUUUAAAUAGAAUCUAAUGCAGAGCAAACAGCGACCUCUUGGAUCUUUCUAAUAUUAGAAGUUGUGCAAGAUAACGAUAGAUUUUACCAAUUUUCUGAUAUUAUCUAAUAUUAGGGGCUACUUAGGACUUGUUCUUAUUGGGAGAAUAAGAAAAACUAAGAGAAAGUUACUUUCAGGCUUUUAUAAUGAGCCCAAUUACCCCUUUAAUGCUAAAUAACACGUUUUUACCAAGAUCGAUAUCGCUAAAUAGAUUAUGUAUUUCUUCUGAAACAAAGGAAAAAAAAGGCUCAAUUUUGAUAUUUUAUAGCCAUCAGGGUAAUUAAACUAUUCAACAGUUAUGCUAGAUAACACGUUUCCUCAAAUUAUACCCUUGUACUUAGCGCAGCAUAGCCAUUUCCGGCUUUUAUUCAAUUAAACCGUAAAGAGGUGGUUCAUGGUGGUGGACGACUACGUAGAACCUUGAAUCGAUUAGUUUCUUUGGGCAGAUGAACUCGCCGUCACACGCAAGUCUGAGAAAAGUUUUAACCCUUCGACUUGAAUUUAAAAUUCUAAUGCUGAGAAUGCAGAGAAAGCGUUGAACCACGAUGCAAAACUGGUCACAGCAGAUGACUCUAAAAUUUGGACCAUUCACGUUUUCGAAUUUUUCGUAUUCAGUGUGUACAUUUUUUUGCGGCAAUCCUGCCGAAAGCAACCCGAACCAACAAGGAGCCAAAGAACAAUGUGGAACAGCGGAGUUCGAGUAGGUGGUCCUAUUCUUCGCCGCCGCAACACUGUGUGCGAAUCAAAUUUUCUUUCGCAUGAUAUUGGUGAAAAUUAUGAAUGAAUAUUCACUAGCGAAAAAUUCGCUUUUGAGAUUCACUUUUGCAUGCAGUGACAAUGGCUUUUUACAAAUUGAGUAUUUCCAUUUGAACGGGAUAGUAACAUUUGCAGAAAUAGGCAACCGGAUCCUUUACAUAAUUAUGAAAUCAGUUUGUAAACAAACAAUAGGCUGUGAUAACUAUUCUCAAUACUGAGCAUUUCACUAAGCAUACCCUUAAUUAUUUAAUGAAAAUAGUUUGAAAUAUUCCAGUAUGUGUAUCAGCAUUAGUCAAUGUCAAUUAAGAAUGGUAAUUGUUAAAACUGGAGGUGAGUUUUAUCACUGAAUAGCUUUUUCUGGAGUCCUUAAGCAUGGCAAGGAUACCAGUAAUGAGUGUAUCAGCAUCCAUUAAUGAUCCUGUUGCUGUUGUGAAUACUUACUGUUCAUAUGUAUCAAUGCUCAAAGAUCCUGUUGCAAAGGAUGAAAGUAAAUUGAAAGCUUUGCCAGAAUCGAGUGGAGAGCUUGAAUUUUGAGUUGCUGUCCUGAUUUUUUCGUUGGCCUGCUACAAAGCCUGUUUAAUGUCUUCAGCUUUGGCAAUCAACUUCGUAAGACAAUUGUAGAAAUAAUUCAUACGCUCCCUGCUAAUAAUCAUUUGCUACCUGAUAGCAAACCAAUCUUGUCUUUAAUGUUCAAAUCAUUGGAAGUGGAAAAUGAGGAAAACAUGUUAGUAGUUUUCAGAAUAAUCAUGGAAUUUCAUAAGACCUUCAGGCCACCAUGAAGCGUGGAAAUACAGACGUUUCUGCUUUAUGUAAAGACUAUUUACAAAGAUCUGCCUAAUUACUUGCAUCUUAUGUUUGAACUACGGCCUAUUCCAAAAGUAAAAAUUUUAUCGGCAGCUACAUCGGAACCGUUAUUGAAAGAAACAUUUACCAUAGCACUGAUUCAAAUUAAGAAAAGUUAAAAAAGGGGCCCAGAUUCAACUACUCAGAUGGUCAAUUUAAUCCCAAAGGCUACUAUGUCCUUAAAGGCACUGGCAGAGCUACCUAUAAUUGUUGUCUUGAUGUACCAGCUAUAUAAAAUAAGUGUUCAUAAAGAUGUCACAGAAUUUACACCAUUGAUAAUGACAACUAUUACUUUACAACUCACAGCUCAAUGGAGGAGCAAUCCAUCUUUCAACAAAGAAGUUUAUGUUGACUUUAUGCAUGCACAGAUAAAAACAUUAUCUUUUCUGACUUACUUAGUUAGAAUAUAUCAGAAUGCUGUGAAUGAACAUUCUUCUCAGUUUGCUAAAGGAAUGAUAGGAUUGUUGUGUCUAUGUCUGCAAGAAGUGGCCCAUUUGUGCAAAGAAUUGCUUGUAGCAGCCUGUCAUAUGUCAGCCACAGAUCUAAGAGAUAGCCUCUUGCUUAUAGUACUUUCGCUAAUCUUGCUCAUCGUGGGAGACAAUAUUUAUAGUUGAAGGAUCUGGCUAAGGCUGUAAAUGUGUUCUUAAAAAAUGUUUAUGAUGAAUCUUUCGUAACUACAAUUCAAACAAUGUCUUGUAUGUUUAUUCUGAAUUUAGUUGAAUGCAUUAGAAUAAGAUCUGAUCCAUAAAAUGGCAAUGGCCAGGAGUUGUUAAAGAGGAUGUUUGAAGUUGUGGUUUUAAAAUUUGAAACUAUUUCAAAGCUGCAGCUGCCUGUCCUGCAG